GUAGUAGCAAAUAAUCGAAUGAGACCUUGGAGGACUGAAGUGUGUAGAAGGGUUUCGUGUGAACAGUGGUUGAUCACGAGUUAGUCGGUCCUAAGUUCAAGGCGAAAGCCGAAAAUUUUCAAGUAAAACAAAAAUGCCUAACUAUAUAAACAAAGCGAAUAUAAUACACUUGAAUAAUUUUGAACGAAAGGGAAUACGGUUCCAAUUCCGUAACCUGUUGAGUAUCCGUUUGUUAUUAAAUAUGGGCCUCGUGCUCAUCCUGGCAACAGGAACGACCAUAAAGAAGCCGUCGAGAGAUAUCGGAAGAGUUUUCUUUUCUGUUUUAUAGCCGUACUACCAUGGAAGUCUUUCGCAGAGAGAUAUGGUAGAUGGGCUAGAAGAGCAUGACAUAUACUGUUGUGUCGAUAUUUUCUCCUCGGACCUUGAAAAUUUAUGGUGGGGACACGCAAACUUCUCAACAGGCCGUACCAAUAUCCGCAGCUGGUCUCCAAGGUGAAGAGUCUCUAGUCGAUAGAAUAAUGUAGGUAAGGGAAGUCGGCAAAUUAGAUCCGUAACUUCGGGAUAAGGAUUGGCUCUGAAGAUUGAGAUAGUCGGGCUUGAUUGGGAAACAAUAACAUGGUUUAUGUGCUCGUUCUGGGUAAAUAGAGUUUCUAGCAUUUAUGUUAGUUACUUGUUCCCGGAUAGUUUAGUUACGUAGCCAAUUGUGGAACUUUCUUGCUAAAAUUUUUAAGAAUACUAUUUGGGUUAAACCAAUUAGUUCUUAUCAAUUAUAACGAUUAUCAAUUAACAAUCAAUUCAGAACUGGCACGGACUUGGGGAAUCCGACUGUCUAAUUAAAACAAAGCAUUGUGAUGGCCCUAGCGGGUGUUGACACAAUGUGAUUUCUGCCCAGUGCUCUGAAUGUCAAAGUGAAGAAAUUCAAGUAAGCGCGGGUCAACGGCGGGAGUAACUAUGACUCUCUUAAGGUAGCCAAAUGCCUCGUCAUCUAAUUAGUGACGCGCAUGAAUGGAUUAACGAGAUUCCUACUGUCCCUAUCUACUAUCUAGCGAAACCACAGCCAAGGGAACGGGCUUGGAAUAAUUAGCGGGGAAAGAAGACCCUUUUGAGCUUGACUCUAAUCUGGCAGUGUAAGGAGACAUAAGAGGUGUAGAAUAAGUGGGAGAUAUUAGACCUCGGUUUGGUAUCGUCAAUGAAAUACCACUACUCUUAUUGUUUCCUUACUUACUUGAUUAAAUGGAACGUGUAUCAUUUCCUAGCCAUUAUACGGAUAUAUUUAUUAUAUCUUAUGGUAUUGGGUUUUGAUGCAAGCUUCUUGAUCAAAGUAUCACGAGUUUGUUAUAUAAUCGCAAACAAAUUCUUUAAUAAAACGAUGCAUUUAUGUAUUUUUGAUUUGAAAAUUUGGUAUAACUCCAAUUACUCAGGUAUGAUCCAAUUCAAGGACAUUGCCAGGUAGGGAGUUUGACUGGGGCGGUACAUCUCUCAAAUAAUAACGGAGGUGUCCCAAGGCCAGCUCAGUGCGGACAGAAAACACAUAUAGAGCAAAAGGGCAAAUGCUGACUUGAUCUCGGUGUUCAGUACACACAGGGACAGCAAAAUCUCGGCCUAUCGAUCCUUUUGGUUUAAAGAGUUUUUAACAAGAGGUGUCAGAAAAGUUACCAUAGGGAUAACUGGCUUGUGGCGGCCAAGCGUUCAUAGCGACGUCGCUUUUUGAUCCUUCGAUGUCGGCUCUUCCUAUCAUUGUGAAGCAAAAUUCACCAAGCGUUGGAUUGUUCACCCAUGCAAGGGAACGUGAGCUGGGUUUAGACCGUCGUGAGACAGGUUAGUUUUACCCUACUAAUGACAAAACGUUGUUGCGACAGCAUUCCUGCGUAGUACGAGAGGAACCGCAGGUACGGACCAAUGGCACAAUACUUGUUCGAGCGAACAGUGGUAUGACGCUACGUCCGUUGGAUUAUGCCUGAACGCCUCUAAGGUCGUAUCCGUGCUGGACUGCAAUGAUAAAUAAGGGGCAAUUUGCAUUGUAUGGCUUCUAAACCAUUUAAAGUUUAUAAUUUAUUUUAUAAACGACAAUGGAUGUGAUGCCAAUGUAAUUUGUAACAUAGUAAAUUAGGAGGAUCUUCGAUCACCUGAUGCCGCGCUAGUUACAUAUAAAAGCAUUAUUUAAUACAAUGACAAAGCCUAGAAUCAAUUGUAAACGACUUUUGUAACAGGCAAGGUGUUGUAAGUGGUUGAGCAGCUGCCAUACUGCGAUCCACUGAAGCUUAUCCUUUGCUUGAUGAUUCGA
rfam:Drosophila sechellia strain Rob3c scaffold_3876 genomic scaffold, whole genome shotgun sequence.